AGGUCUGAUGUGGUUGUGAUAGUUUGUGUUGCUGUGAAGAUGUGCUGCCACAUUCUCAGUUUUCUGAGGCGUGAAGGCUUUAUGCCCAGGUAUUUUGCAUUUCUGUAGCCCAGCUGGGAGGUGAGGAAGCAUAUAUAACAGAGACCAGGUCAUCAUUCUCUAGGAUGAGUCUCUCCUAGACAACUGGAUGUUGUAGAGAAAGUUACUUGAGGAUGCUACUGUGUGAGAUUGUAUCAUCAGCGAACAUUCCUAAACUACAGAUUGAAUUGACCAACGAUGGAUGUGUACCUUCAACCAAAGGAGACUGCACUGUGAUUGCAAAUGCCUCUACCCACUGGCAUCUCCUCUGUCUUGCUCAGGUUCUGCUUUAAUCAGGUGUUCUCCAUCCAUGAACUGAUCUCCUCCAAGCAGUGGGCCAUCUUGGUGGUAGGGGUAUAGUCAUAUGUAUAUGCGGAAGGAGAAGCAGAGCUGUGUGUCAUCUGCAUAUUGCUGGCACUUGUGUCCCUGUUGUCUGACCAGUUUGUAGGUAUUGAAUAGGACUGGAGAGAGAACUGAUCCUUGUGGCACUCUGCAAGUGAAAGGUCUGAUGGGAGACAAGCAAUUUCCCAUCACUACCUAGAAAGGACUUAAUGCUUUUUAGCAUGUUCCCCUGGAUCUCUGCCACCUCUCUCAGAAGAGUCAGCAUGAUCUCAUGGCAAACAGGGUCAAAUGGAGUGGGGGAAGGAUCAGAACUAGAAAGCAGGGACAGUUCCAACAUAGGAACAAAGUGAACUGAAAGAACUAGGGACUUGAAAAUCAGGGACUGUUGCAUGCAGGGUGGAUAAAAAUUAAUUAAAAAAUAUAAAAGGAUUUUUUUAUUUAAAUAGGAUUAUUUUUAUUUAAAUAUAGAUUUAUUUUAAGAAAAAACAACCCGAUUUAAAAUUAAACUUGAAAUUAGCAACUUAUGUUAAGGCCUAAACUUAUAGCCUAUUAAAAUCAUUUAAAUUACAUACAAAAAUAAUACAUAGCGGUACACAUUUGUUGCCAAGUUUUAAUGAAAGUCAAAUUUCAUUUCAAAUGAGCCGGUGGAAGUCACUGGCUAAGCACCUGGAACCAGAGUUAGCUGAUGUGCUAAACCAGUUUUUGGCGGCAGUAGCCUCUUGUGCGGUGCAGAAUGAAAUAAAGAAAAUAUUCUGUUUAUUCAGCUAGUUCAGUUCAAAGACUAGUUCAUUCAAAAUUAAGAAGCCAGUUGGAAGUUGAAAAAGAGGGAAUGCUUGUUUUCCUCUUCCAAUUGCAAACAAAAACAAGGUGAAAGAGGAUGCGAUCGACUUGUUCUAAAAUCUUGAAGGACGUGGUGACCUAGAAACUCCAGUUGAAUUCACUAACUACAGAUAAUACUUCCUUUGCUUAAUAAAUCAGUUUUAAAUGGAAAAUAAGUUUUGUUAAACUUUUUUUCUUAUGUAUCCAGCACAUUUUAGGUAACACAAAGCAUGUCUGACUGCAGUCGCUGAGAUCAUCUGCCAUUUCUUGCCUCCUCCAGUGGCUGCCUGACUGCUGUUUGUGUUACAGGUUUUACUGCACUGACGGAGAAGUUUAGCACGGACACCAGUCUGGACUGUGGCGCUGAGCAGCUAACACAGACCCUCAAUCAUUAUGUAGGGGAUAUUGUGGAAAAGGUGCUGAUUUAUGGAGGCGAUAUCUUGAACUUUGCAGGAGAGUGAUAUCAUUCACGGUCACCUGGUUGAAAUGGGGUGAUUUUAUUAAGGG